GAACAGGACACACCAGCGUGCUGAUGUCAUCUUGAAUUUCAUGCUGGAGACUGUACUUGCACAUUCCUCUUUUAUAUCCAGAUUGAUCCCUGGCACCUUUGUUUGGACAGGAGGUCUGAAAAGAAUUACAUAUAAAACUCCCAGCCAUUUAGGUGGCCACUGAUCACUUCAGGAGGGGCUCACAAAGCUCAGCAGGAUACUCAUCAAUGGGAAGGAAAUGCUACCAAGGGAUCAAGAGGAGUCAAACACAAAAUGACAGAAGUGCAGUCAGAUCAUUCAUCCCAGAAUCCCCGAAUGUGGAGGGCCCUGUGUUGAUUUGUCUUGGAUUAAAAGCAGGAUGUCUUCAUAAUGCACUAAGUCCUGGUGUAUUUGAAGGCCUGUGUGAAUUAAUAUGGGUUUGGUUCUGCUUGCAGUAAAAUGUUAGUAAUUCAACAACACUCUGUUCAUUUAUGGAGGCUGAAUUUAACCUCGAGCCUUCAGACCUUUCAUGGUUCAGUGUUGCGUUAAUGUUUGGACUCAAUGAUCUGUUUUCAGCCUUAAUUACUCACUGGCAGCCUGGUAACCAGAGGAGUAAAAGAGUCUUUACAUUCUGUUUUUCUUUCCUCCCAGACAUAGUGGAAAAUCCACCCACUAUUAUUUUCUCCUAACACAAUUUGUAUUUUAAAUAUCGGCAAUUUUCCAUUCCCACUGUUUCAUUUGUGUCACUCAGCAUGGAUGGACUUGAGCUCCUGCAAGGGAGAUUCCAGGAAGAAGUUAUCAGUGCACUUUUAAUUAGGCAGACUGCUAAUUGGAAGCAGUCAUGGAUAGAAGUUGCACCCUGACAAUGGAUUACAUCAGUUAGAAUGAAAAGUGAAGCUAUUUGUUUUCAAUCACCAUGUCUUAAAAUUAUUUUUAACAAUCACUAAUCUUCUACUUAUGUCAUGUACUG